rnacentral:rRNA from 1 species
UUAAAUUUUAUUUAUUAAUUUUAGUUAUUUAUGUUUAUAGUAUUAAAAAUAAUUAUAUAAUAUAAAGUUUUAGUAUUUUUUAAAGAACUAAUAAAUUUAAUAAUAGUUAAAUAGUAUUGUAAAAGAAAAUUGAAAUAAUUGAAAAAUAAUUAUAGUAAAAGAAAAUUUAAUUUAUUGUACCUUGUGUAUCAGUGUUUAUCAAAUAAAAAAUAUUUAUAAAUUAUUUUUCUCGAUUUUAAAAGAGUUAAUAUAAUAUAAAAGUUAAUGUAAUAAAAUUAUUUUAAAUAUUAUAUUAGAAAUGAAAUGUUAUUCGUUUUUAAAGGUAUCUAGUUUUUCAAGAAAUAAAUUUAAUUUAGAAGUUGAUAAAUUAUUUUAUUAUUUUUUUAAUAAACUAAUUAUUAACUUUAAUAUUUUAUGGGAUAAGCUAUAAAAUAAAUUUUUAUAAAUAAUAAAUAAAUUUAUUAAAUAUAUGUUUAGAAAUAGCAAUUAUUUAAAAGUAUGUUAUAAUUUAUUUUAUAAAUUAUAUUAUUUAUUAUAUUUUAAUUAAUUAUUGAAAUAUUUAUUUUAAUUUUAAAAAUAAAGAAAUAAUGAUAAAAUUAGUAUAUUAUUUUGUAAAAAUAUAAUUAUAUGAUAAGUUUAUGUAAAG